AGUGAACGCUGGCGGUAGGCCUAACACAUGCAAGUCGAACGGCAGCACAGUAAGAGCUUGCUCUUACGGGUGGCGAGUGGCGGACGGGUGAGGAAUACAUCGGAAUCUACUUUUUCGUGGGGGUUAACGUAGGGAAACUAACGCUAAUACCGCAUACGACCUACGGGUGAAAGCAGGGGAUCUUCGGACCUUGCGCGAUUGAAUGAGCCGAUGUCGGAUUAGCUAGUUGGCGGGGUAAAGGCCCACCAAGGCGACGAUCCGUAGCUGGUCUGAGAGGAUGAUCAGCCACACUGGAACUGAGACACGGUCCAGACUCCUACGGGAGGCAGCAGUGGGGAAUAUUGGACAAUGGGCGCAAGCCUGAUCCAGCCAUACCGCGUGGGUGAAGAAGGCCUUCGGGUUGUAAAGCCCUUUUGUUGGGAAAGAAAAGCAGCAGGUUAAUACCCCGCUGUUCUGACGGUACCCAAAGAAUAAGCACCGGCUAACUUCGUG
rnacentral:rRNA from 1 species